GAGGAAACUCGGAUUAAUACCGGAUAUUCUUAUUUUUUCACAUGAAGUUUUAAGGAAAGGUCAGCCGAACUAAGAUGAGCUCGCGUUCUAUCAGCUAGUUGGUGGGGUAAAAGCCUACCAAGGCUACGACGGAUAGCUGGUCUGAGAGGACGAUCAGCCACACUGGGACUGAGACACGGCCCAGACUCCUACGGGAGGCUGCAGCAGGGAAUAUUGUGCAAUGAGCGAAAGCUUGACACAGCGACACCGCGUGUGGGAUGACGGUUCUAGGAUUGUAAACCACUUUCAGGAGGGAAGAAAAUGACGGUACUUCCACAAGAAGACC
rnacentral:rRNA from 1 species